GGGACACGAAGCUUAGGGGACCACAACAGAGGCAACCCAUUAGGAGGGCAUAAUGCAUGGAAAUGCAAGGGCAAUGCCCUUUUCACGGAGGGAAGAAACUCACAGGCACCUGCCCCAUGCCAUUGGUGGAUGAUGCAGCAUAGGUAUGGGCACCAGGACAUGAUCAUCAUCAUUUUUAUUUAUUAACACCCAUCAAAUAAAGACUUUCUGUUUCGGAAAGUGCUCAACAUUGCCCUAUUUUAUUAGCAUACCACAUGGCCGACAACACCACAAUUUACACACUUUGAGUGGCACCAAAACUAGAUAUUAUAGAUAGAUAGGCCAAUUUUACUAGAGGACAACAAACCAAAGCAAGGGUACCAUCUUCACUGUUGAGUUGAGUCCUUGUUGUGCCUUUCAUGUUAAAAUAAAAUUCAUUAAUUUACUUUUUAAGGGGGGAGAACGUAUAUAUCAACUUUAGAGAAGGGUAAAAAAAAAUAAAAAUGGUCCCCAUGCAAUCUUGACCGUAUUUCCUCACAAGAUAUUCAUUCCUUUUCUAUGGGUACCAAUCCAAGCUCUACUAUUUCAAAUCUAAUUGCAUUGAUAUAGCCACUAAAUCAACCAACCAAACCAACUCAUCAAAUUUAAAAAGGAGGAGUGGGUUAUGUUCUGGUACUUGUGGUUCGUCCUUUUUUGCAGGUUAGGGCGAAUUUGAGGUAAAGCAUCAAUCUUCAACUCUUACCUUUUAUAUAGUAUGUUUUUAUCUUCUAUCUCCUUCCCUUUCUUUCUGCUAUUCAAAUAUUUUUUAUAUAAUAACUUAACUAAGAUUUUUGUUGUGUACAUGUAUUGAUUGAUAUAUAGCAUUGCUUGAUUAAGUUCUUGAUUAUUAUUAGCAUUAAUAUCGGUAUUGUUAUUAUGAAAUUAUUAUUAUUAUUAUUGACCCCUUCUUUUACCCCUUUUCACGUCGCUGCCUGGAGUGGAUGUGAAGCAAUCGUGAACAUGUCCAUACACUCAACAAAGAAAAUAGAAAAGACAAUGCUCAGAAUGGGCCCCAAACAUUCAAAAUUUUCUCUGAAAUUGUAAGGGCGAAUUGGAACAAAGCAGUGAAUAGCAGAUGGAGAUUAGCGGGGAUCAAUGAGAAACUGAAGGCAGUGAAAGGCGCAGUCAAAGACGAACUCAGAUCAACAGAUAAUCAGCUUUUGGAAGGGGUUCGACAAAUGUUUGAAUUGAAGAAGGAAAUUCCCAAGCCAGGGAUCAGAGAAGUCACGAUGCAAGCUGGGGAUUACAACACCCGUUUUUUCCACUCGUGUUUAUCAGAAAUGAGAUCAAAGUGCAUUUCUCAUUAGCCUUUAAAGCACCUCAACCUGUGAUGGUUUUAACAUUAAUUUCUACAAAAAAAGAUGGAAUAUAAUAGGGGAAGAGGUCAUCCCAGCCGUACAGGAAUUUUACAGCAACACCAAGCUACCAAGGGCCUUCUCAUCUUCAUUUAUUGUGCACAAAACUUUACUGAAUUUCGUCCUAUCGCUCUAAUCGAAAGUAUUAUCAAAAUUGGAACUACCUUGAUUACAUGUUAAACAGAUUGGGGUUCAAUAUGCAAUGGAGAUUGUGGAUCAAGGAAAUUGUCUCGAAUAGCAAUAUUUCAAUUUUGGUCUCAAGAGGAUUGAAACAGAUAGAUCCUCUCGCCCCCUUUCUCUUCUUAAUUGUCGCACAAGGGCUAGCCGGUCUAGUGCAUAAUGCUGUGGAAAAAGGUAUUUUUAAGGGCGUCAACUUAGAUUCAGAUUGCAACUUCCCCAUAAUUCAGUAUGCAGAUGAUUCGGUGCUCAUGGGGGAAGCUUCUUUUCAUAACUUUUGGGCAAUAAAGACAAUUUUCAGGGGGUUUGAAUUGUGCCAUUAUCAGUCAACUUCCACAAGCGUGUCUUCUACGGAAUCAACACAGAUCAUGCUUUUAAUGAGGCAGAAGCUGACUUUUUGCAUUGUAAAGUUCAAUCACCACCUUUCAACUUCCUUGGCCUACCGGUUGGAAAAAGCCCGCUCUUAUCCUCGACAUGGGAACCGGUCCUAAACAAAUUUCACAAAAGAUUAGCAACUUGGAUGUCAAAGUUAACUCUAAUCAACUCGGUCUUAUCAAGCCUCUCAGUGAACUACCUAUCAAUGUCCAAGGCUCCGAAGAAGAUUCUCAAUGAACAUGCAGUAAUACAGAGGAGAUUUUUAUGGCAUGGAGUCAGUGAAAAUAGGAAAAUUAAUUGGUUGAAAUGGGAAUCAAUUUGCAAACCAGAGGGACAUAGUGGCUUAUGUAACAUCCCUGAUUUUCAAUAUCUCAAUAUGUUAUGACAGAUACUACACGAUGAUAUUGAAAAGAAAGGAACACCUAGGUUGAUCAAGAGUCUUUAGAAAAGAUGAGAGAAUUAAUGGGAGAGAAGUUGUUCGUGUGUAUUCUAUUAAUGAUGUUAGUUAAAAGCCUUAUAAAGA